CACAGCAGAAUUGUUCACUGGUGUGUUCAGUGAUGAAUGUGGGUCAUGUGACUCUCUCCUGGUACAAAGGAAACAGUUUAUUGUCCAGCAUCAGUGUGUCUGAUCUCAGCAUCAGUCUCUCUCUACCUCUGGAGGUGGAAUAUCAGGAGAAAAACAGCUACAGCUGUGUGAUCAACAAUCCCAUCACAAACCAGACCACACAUCUGGACAUCAGUGAACUCUGUCAACCAUGUUCAGAUCAGGGCUUACCUUUACUGUACAUGGUGCUGAUUUCUGCUGCUGCUGGAUCUCUGAUUGUCGUAGCUGCAGUCUUGUGGUACUGCUUCUGCUGGAAACGUAGGAAAAUAGCUCAGAAAUUCACGAUCAACGAGAUAUACCAAACACUGCCUAAACCAAGACCAUGAAAAACGAAAUUAAAGGAGCUUGUGUGAGCCUGAAUGAUCAAAUAUGUUUAAGAGCUGAUACAGACCCCUGACUCAUAUGUUUUAGUUCACAUCUAAUCUCUGCCAGGAUGUUUUUUGUCUGUUUUGUUGUCACUCUUGUGUCACAUGAAAGAUUUUAAUCAGUGUAUUUUUAUUUUUUUUUGCAAACACUCUUUCUUCGUGUCUGAAAUGUUGUAAUUUUUUGUUGUUUUAGUUUAAUUGUGUGUACUGCAUAUCAUAGCAUCAGAAAAUCUUGUAAAUGUUCUAUUUUUAGCUAAUCACUCUGUUAAUUCACAACUUUAAAUGCCUCUAUCACUGUCUACUCCUGAUUAAAUAAAUAUAUUGAAUAUUGUAUAUUCAAUCAUAUAGGGCUAACAAUAAAAAACUCAAUUAAACACAGAAUACAUUUUAAAUAUGGUUUUAACACACCGUUUUGUUCUGCAGGUGCAGGUCAGUAAUACAGUUUUGACUCAUAUUUACACCUUUCCACUGGCAUCAUUUUUAGUUAUUGGCGCCAUCUGGUGGGUUUUGAAUAACAUCAGCGUAAAACAUCAUCACGUUGUGUGUAGGUGUGUGUGUGUGUGUGUGUGUGUGUGUGUGUGUGUGUGUGUGUGUGUGAUUACUUGAUGCAUUAAAUACAGAAAUGAAGUGAAAACCACUGAUGGUCGGAGUUCCUACCAUUUAAAAGAUGAAUGCCUUACUGUUUGAAUCUAACAUGUAAAUAACAUGUUUUAAUUUACUUUUUAAUAAUUUAAUAGAUGUUUUUAUGUGAUUCACAUUGUAUUAAAGGUAUUUUCAUCAGUUCA